rnacentral:rRNA from 1 species
AUGGACGAGGGGAACACCAACAUCACCAAGAUGCUGGAGACGCUGCUCGCCAAAAUCAAUGACCAGAAGGUGGCGCACGACAAACAGAUCGAGCUCCAGGCCGCCUUCAAUGCGCAGAUCUCGCAGGAGAUGCGCGGCCUCUCGCGGCAGCUUGAUCUGACCCAGGCGGACCUCGACCUCACGCGCAAGACGGUGGAAGGAUCGGCCUCUCCGUCAGGUUCGGUCACCACGCAUCUUCACCAGCCCGCGCAACAGCAGCAGCAACCCCCACCGCCCCCUCCUCCUCCUUCGCCGCGCCCCGUACCGGAUCUGGCGCGCCCGUCGUCUUCACACGCGCGUCUGGGCGAUCACCGCCCACCUCUCCUUCCUGUGCCACCACAGGGCGGAUUUGUCGCCGUGCCGACCGCAUCUCCGACGGGCUACAACACCAACGAGUACCACAAGCCCCCGAAGCACGAUUUUCCCAAGUUCGACGGCACGACGCCAUACUUGUGGCUGGACCGUUGCCUUGCCUACUUCGAGCUCUACAAGGUGGCUGCCCACCAGUGGGUCGCCACCGCGGCGCUCUACAUCGACGGCCAGGCCGCACACUGGCUUCAAGCGUUCCGCCAGACGCAUCGCAACAUCACAUGGGACGUCUUCACGUUGGCGAUCCUGGAGGAAUUUGGCGCCGACGAGUUUGAGGUGGUGAUGCACAAGCUGCUCCAGCUCCGCCAAACAGGCACAGUCGCCGAGUACCGCGCCGCGUUCGACGAGCAGAUGUACCACUUGCUCGCGCUCGAUCCAUCGAUCAACACCAAGUUCUUCGUGACGCAGUUCCUCCUUGGCCUGAAGGACGAGUUGCGUGCCCCGGUGCGUCUUCAGGCACCUUCAAGCAUCACGCUCGCAUCGGUGCUCGCGCGCAUCCAAGAGGAAGAACUGGGCACGACCCGCGCGCGAACCCGCAUCACACCCGCGGGCCGACCACCACCAACAACAGCCGCAGCGGCACUGCCACAGCGCGCCGCGGCCGCGCCGGUUCGCGCCCAAGGAGACGAGUACGCGCGGGAGCGGCAGCUCCGCAAUUUUCGCCGCGCGAACAACCUCUGUUUCAAGUGUGGCGAUCGCUACUCCAGAGAACAUCGCUGCGCCCAGCCCGCGCAACUCCUCACAAUCAAUGUGGGGGACCACGGUGAGGUGCUCUCGGACGACACCAUCCAUGCCCUGCAGCUGCUCGAUGACCCGGGCCCGGUGGUGCAACCCCCUGCCUUGGCCGCGGAUGCGCCAGAGUGCUGUCUCCUCUCGUUGCAAGCGCUCGACGGCACGGACUCGGCGACGACGAUCAGGUUGCGCGCACUAGUGGGAAACCAGGUCAUGCUCCUGCUGCUCGACUCGGGCAGCACCCACGUUUUGUCAACAAGGCGUUCGUUGAUCGCCUAG